ACUCAAAGGAAUAGACGGGGGCCCGCACAAGCGGUGGAGCAUGUGGUUUAAUUCGACGCAACGCGCAGAACCUUACCAGCCCUUGACAUGUCCAGGACCGGCACCAGAGAUGGAGCCUUCUCUUCGGAGCCUGGAGCACAGGUGCUGCAUGGCUGUCGUCAGCUCGUGUCGUGAGAUGUUGGGUUAAGUCCCGCAACGAGCGCAACCCCCGUCUUUAGUUGCUACCAUUUAGUUGAGCACUCUAAAGAGACUGCCGGUGAUAAGCCGCGAGGAAGGUGGGGAUGACGUCAAGUCCUCAUGGCCCUUACGGGCUGGGCUACACACGUGCUACAAUGGCGGUGACAAUGGGAUGCAAAAGGGCGACCUCUCGCAAAUCUCAAAAAGCCGUCUCAGUUCGGAUUGGACUCUGCAACUCGAGUCCAUGAAGUUGGAAUCGCUAGUAAUCGUGGAUCAGCAUGCCACGGUGAAUACGUUCCCGGGCCUUGCACACACCGCCCGU
rnacentral:rRNA from 1 species